GACAAGGGAUCUAUGAUAGCUAGCCCUGGAUGUUAGCGCUGAGAACAAAAUAUUAUGGAGUAUUAGAAAAUUACCACACUUUUGUAAAAUAUUUUGGUUUCAGAGUACCACAAAGUGUUUCGAUGCAAAAAAAAAUGAUUCACUUUUGAAAACCACACCAUGCCUAAGGAUGGUUGCGACAGAGCUUGGGGUAGGCUACGG
rnacentral:lncRNA from 1 species